rnacentral:rRNA from 1 species
UACGGAGGAUGCGAGCGUUAUCCGGAUUUAUUGGGUUUAAAGGGUGCGCAGGCGGCACGGCAAGCCGGCGGUCAAAUCGCGGGGCUCAACCCCGCCCAGCCGUCGGAACUGCCGGGCUAGAGUGGGCGAGAAGUGCGCGGAAUGCGUGGUGUAGUGGUGAAAUGCAUAGAUAUCACGCAGAACUCCGAUUGCGAAGGCAGCGCACCGGCGCCCUACUGACGCUCAGGCACGAAAGCGUGGGUAUCGAACAGG